GAGGGUGUAGCUCAGUGGUAGAGCACAUGCUUAGCAUGCAUGAGGUCCUGGGUUCAAUCCCCAUUACCUCCU
rnacentral:tRNA from 1 species